UAAAGUCCAACUAGCGGGCAGACAUGGAGGAGACGCAACAAUCACAACCUCAGCUCUCCAUCACAGCACUCCGACUACCUGUUGGUGAUAAGAAACUGAACUGUUGCAGGACUUUGGCUGGACCAAUGUCUGCUGCACCACCAUAUGCUUUACCGGGCGAGCCCUGGUGCGAUGGACUUCAGCCGAAUCUGAGCUAAAAAAGGAGGCAUAACUGGAGAAAACCAGGCAGGAUGAUACCAGUCUGGAUACUUCAAAC